UCGCCAUUUUACAUGCAGUCGCACGGUAACGCGGAGAGAAGCUUGCUUCUCUCCGGCGACGAGUGGCGAACGGGUGAGCCUACAUCGGAACGUGUCCGCUCGUGGGGGACAACCAGCCGAAAGGUUGGCUAAUACCGCAUGAGUUCUACGGAAGAAAGAGGGGGACCCGCAAGGGCCUCUCGCGAGCGGAGCGGCCGAUGACUGAUUAGCCGGUUGGUGAGGUAUCGGCUCACCAGAGCAACGAUCAGUAGCUGGUCUGAGAGGACGACCAGCCACACUGGGACUGAGACCCGGCCCACACUCCUACGGGAGGCAGCAGUGGGGAAUUUUGGACAAUGGGCGCUAGCCUGAUCCCGCUAUUCCGCGUGUGCGAUGAAGGCCCUCGGGUUGUAAACCACUUUUGUAGACAACUCAAAGACACCUUCUAAUCACGGAUGCUGCUGACGGUACUCUCAGACUAUUCAUCGGCUAAGUACGUGCCAGCAGCCGCGCUAAUACGUAGGGCGCGAGCGUUAAUCAUAAUUACUGGGUGUAGCGGGCGCGCUUUCGUUUGACUAAGACAGAUGUGAGAUCCCCGGCCUUACCUCGGCGAUGGCCUAUGUGACUGCUCGAUUAUAGCGUGUCACAUUGGAGCGCAAUUCUGCGUGUAAUAGUAGAUAGCUCCCAUAUGUGCCUCACCUUUUCUGACCAAAUCACCCCCCUGCUAGUUAUAUGGCCUCAAGCCCGGAGGACAUGGAAAGCCCAUAUAAU
rnacentral:rRNA from 1 species